CGAAGGGGGCUAGCGUUGUUCGGAGUUACUGGGCGUAAAGGGCGCGUAGGCGGCCCUCCAAGUCGGGCGUGAAAGCCCACGGCUCAACCGUGGAAUUGCGCUCGAGACUGAAGGGCUCGAGGACGGGAGAGGAUGGUGGAAUUCCCAGUGUAGAGGUGAAAUUCGUAGAUAUUGGGAAGAACACCGGUGGCGAAGGCGGCCAUCUGGACCGUAUCUGACGCUGAGGCGCGAAAGCGUGGGGAGCAAACAGGAUUAGAUACCCUGGUAGUCCACGCCGUAAACGAUGAGUGCUAGACGUUGGGGAACCUAGUUCUUCGGUGUCGCAGCUAACGCAUUAAGCACUCCGCCUGGGGAGUACGGCCGCAAGGUUA
rnacentral:rRNA from 1 species